AUGGGAGCUCAAAAGGGUCCUGCUGGGGUUAGUGUGAUCAUGGUGAGUCUGAUCAUAGUGAUCAUGUCCACUGCGGCUAUGAGCUGCUCGAAGAAGGCGGCCACCGACGAGAAGACGUCCUGGCCGGAGGUGGUAGGGUUGAGCGUGGAGAAGGCCAAGGAGAUCAUCCUCAAGGACAAGCCCGACGCCGACAUCGUCGUCCUCCCCGUUGGCUCGCCGGUCACCAAGGACUACAGGUCCCAGCGCGUCCGCAUCUUCGUUGACAUCGUCGCCGAGACCCCCCACACUGGCUAG
rnacentral:rRNA from 1 species